rnacentral:rRNA from 1 species
UAGUAUGAGGAUCUGCCCGAUAGAGGGGGAUAACUACUGGAAACGGUGGCUAAUACCGCAUAAUGUCUACGGACCAAAGCAGGGGCUCUUCGGACCUUGCACUAUCGGAUGAACCCAUAUGGGAUUAGCUAGUAGGUGGGGUAAAGGCUCACCUAGGCGACGAUCUCUAGCUGGUCUGAGAGGAUGAUCAGCCACACUGGGACUGAGACACGGCCCAG